rnacentral:rRNA from 1 species
UACGAAGGGGGCUAGCGUUGCUCGGAAUCACUGGGCGUAAAGCGCUUGUAGGCGGCUUGUUAAGUCGCGUGUGAAAUCCCCAGGCUUAACCUGGGAAGUGCGCGCGAAACUGGCGAGCUUGAAUGCCGGAGAGGGUCGCGGAAUUCCCGGUGUAGAGGUGAAAUUCGUAGAUAUCGGGAGGAACACCUGUGGCGAAAAGCGGCUCACUGGACCACAACUGACGCUGAGGCGCGAAAGCUAGGGGAGCAAACAGG